rnacentral:tRNA from 1 species
GCACCGAUUGUAUAGUGGUUAGUAUCGAAGCCUGCCACGUUUCGGAGCCGGGUUCGAAUCCCGGUCGGUGCACCA